AAUUAUUGCCGAUCCUCCCCUCCAACACUGCUCUCAUCACCUAUAUACUCUUCUCUCUGCCCGUCUCUGCUUCCCCCCCCUUCCCCCCCCCCUUUUCUCCCGGCCGACGGAGCUGAAGGGGCGGGGGUUCCUUCCUUGGAGUGUUUCUAGAGCUCGGAGGCUGCUGGUAGGGGGGCACCACUUUCAGAUAAAAACAUAGACCUGAAUGGCAUCAUCCAGUAUCCAAGGAAACCAUGUUCUCUAAACAUGAAUAUGCCUUUGGGGGAAGACAGAAGAACAUGGAAGCCAUGUGAAAAAAACGGAUCCUAAGGCAGUUUUGAACAUCUGGAGGCCUGAUUUAUUGGAGAUUGCAAAUGUACAGUGUAACAUAGCUGUGGAGAGCGAGAAGAUCAGGAUUGUCAAUGCUGUCAUUGCUUUUACUGGAAUCCCCAGCACGAAUUGAAGGUCUCACUUUGCCACCUAGGCUGGAUGCAAUGCAACGGUAUGUUGAUCUUGGUUCACUGCAGCCUCAACCUCCUGAGCUCAUGUGAUCCUCCCACCUCAGUCCCCCACGUCGCUUGGAUUACAGGCCUGUGCCACCACACCUGGCUAACUUUUUUUGUAAUUUUUGUAGAGACAGGGUCUCACUAUGUUUCCCAUGCUGGUCUUUAAUGCCUGAGCUCAAGCCAUCCGCCUGCCUCGGCCUCCCAAAUUGCUGGGAUUACAGGCAUGAGCCACCAUGCCCAGCCUAAUUCUUCUAAAUCUUAUCCUAGUAAUUAAGCCAGAAUUUUUCUCUGCCAAGACCAAUAGAUGGACCAAGAAGUACUCAUCCUUGUAAACUUUCUUUGGAUAAAUUGCUUACAUAUAAUAAAUUCAGAGUUAAG
rnacentral:lncRNA from 1 species